CCGAGUGUGGCGUUAAAGGAUGUUUAGGAGUUGGAAACGCUAAUGAACAAAGAGUGUUCAGAGGAUGGAGUUUCCAUGAAGCCUGGAUUGCUGACUUGACUACCUGACUCUGACUGCCUGGAAUAAUAAGAGCCUCUCUGCCCAUGUUAUGAUGGUCUUCACUGUGUUUCCUCCUGUGUUUCAGUCAUCUUUGUGUCUGCGCUGCCGAGGCCUGUCUCACCUCCCAGGGAGAAGCCACUCAGGAAACUGGAUCCCUGUCUGCAUUCCUCCACUGGGAUGGAAAAACAGGACUGAGAGAAAAGAAGGAAGGAAGCACGACGAAACAGAAGGUUUCCCUCCUGGCUGAGGUUUGUCAGCACCACCCACCAACACGAGCAAUAAGGCAGCUCCCCAAGCAAGCCGCAGGCUAGUAUGCGGCUACAAAUAAGAAACCCGACCAAUCUGUGUCCUGCUCAGCAGCCCGUUCGGGCUGGCCAGGACACUGUUGCUUGUGUCCUAGGUUCUUCAGAUGAGCCAUGCCUUUGGUAGAGUAGGAAAAGGGGGCAAAACUGAAAGGUAUAGAACUUGCUGGAGGCCUUGUCUGCCUAAUUCCUUUCCUGUUGCGCUGUGCGAAUCUUUACGUGCAUUCUGUGAAAAGAGCCAGGGGAAAAAAAAAUCAUCAUAAACGUUUAUCACCAACCUAGCCCCACCGCCCAUGCAGUGCUCCCAAGAAAGCUCAUUAAGCCCCAUUGCUAUUAGAGUUAUGUGCUUCCAAAGGCUUGUUGUGACAAGAAAAAAAUAACGAAGACAUGCUUUUGCCAAGUUGUAAGUGCCCAAGUCAAAACACGCUGCUUUUCCUUGUCCCUCUGCCUUCGCUCAGACAAGCCUCCAGGCUGGCUUUGUGGAUCUCAUUCAUGCAUACCCGCAUACUUAUCCUCCUUCAGCCAGUGCCAAGCCUAUAUUUACUCAGUACCAGGCCCAGUGAAGACUAAGGGACCUUCCCUCAAGGAGUUCAGUUUGCAGAAUGGGAGAGACAAGCACAUAAACGGUUUCCUGUAAACUAUAGAAAAUACUAUCUCAAUCCCCAUUGCAAUCCUUCCCACUAGGAUUCUAGUUUCCAUGGAGUUGCCUCCACCUACCUCUGUCCCACAGGUGCGGAGGUAAGGGGUGGGGAACAGACCCAGGUGGCAAGUCAUGUCUCUCCUGACGAACCCAUGUGCCUGGAGCAAGGCAACAGAGGUUCAGACAUGACUUGGACAGUUCACGGGAAAGGGACAGUUAGCUCAGCCCCUUCAUCAGACUCAGUUCCAGUCUUCAGGGAAGUCUUUUAAAGAGAACCCUAUCUCGUGAGACUCUGUGGCUCUUCUACUGCAAAUCGAAGCCCAUUAUUGAGAAUUACCCUUUACCACCAGGGAUUUCAUAGGACAUAGCUAUGCUCUGCACUGAGCUUUGUCUUUUCCUGGUCAGAGUGGAUUAACAUAGGGUUGGUUUGUCCAGGAAGCUUUCAGGAGUCACUGGAACAGUUCCUGCCUUCUAGGAAAAAUAGAAUAGCGCAGGUCAGUGAAACAAAACCCUUUUGACAAGUAGAAGGGUCCACAAUCCCUUAGGCCUCUUCCAGGAUGGACGAUUUCAAUUUCACUAAAUUCAAUGUAGUUAAAUUUCAGUUCAGUUUGGCACUUUCGAGCCCUAGGACAAAAACAGCAUCACACUAGGCCCCAGGGAUGCAGCAAAAACUAAGGCCGUUGAGCCCAUACUACGCUCACUGAAGCUGCAGUCUCCAAGUCUGGCCUUUGCCUGCUGCUCAAACCAGGCCCUGAUUCUGGAAGCCCUGACUGCUGGCCCUCCGUGCAGGGACCGCUGGCAUCCCCUGUAGCCCUGCGUGUAGCCAAAGCAGACUCGACCAGGCGAG
ensembl:lncRNA